rnacentral:misc_RNA from 1 species
GAUGAAGAACGUAGCGAAAUGCGAUAAGUAAUGUGAAUUGCAGAAUUCAGUGAAUCAUCGAAUCUUUGAACGCACAUUGCGCCCGUCAGUAUUCUGGCGGGCAUGCCUGUUCGAGCGUCAUUACGCCCCUCAAGUCCCCUGUGGACUUGGUGUUGGGGAUUGGCGAGGCUGGUUUUCCAGCACAGCCGUCCCUUAAAUUAAUUGGCGGUCUCGCCGUGGCCCUCCUCUGCGCAGUAGUAAAACACUCGCAACAGGAGCCCGGCGCGGUCCACUGCCGUAAAACCCCCCAACUUUUUAUAGUUGACCUCGAAUCAGGUAGGACUACCCGCUGAACUUAAGCAUACCAAUAAGCGGAGGA